UCCCGCCAGGUCUCUGGCUCUCUCUCGCUGUAAGUCUCUGUCCUCCUGAAUCUCUGGUCUCCCACUGAGGCUUGGCUUCAUUGUUUCUGCGUGGCUGGCGGACCCGCAGCCCCUGAGUGGGAGCCCUAGCCCCGCCCUGCCCUCCUCCCGCUGGCCCUGCCCCCUACGUGGCCACGCCCCUCACGCCUUCUGCUCCCUUUCCUCCCUCCCUCCCUCUGUUGGCCAAGGCUUUGAGGUCCUCUAGCUUCCAGUUGAGUUGAAUCCUCGCGGGCGAGGCGUGGCCAAUCAGGCCGCGAGGCGGCUCAACGUCCGCCCCCGGGGUCUCCGCGCGGGCUAAGGGUUGGCAGCCGCGUAGAACGAGAGAAAGCAGAAAUCCUUGGAGCCAAACGGACAGCCAAUCAGGAAGCUCGAGGCCUAGGUGACGUCACGAGUUGCUGAGCGGUUCCAAGGGCCACGCGCCACCUGGCGCCUCGCGCCGCAGUCUAACGGCCUCAGCGCAUGCGGUGCUGGCACUAGUCAUAAGAGGCAGGAAGGGAGAGUUCCUUUGAGCCGAGGAACGGUUAGCCAAUCACGCAGCUCACUUUCUGGAUGACGUCACCAGUUGUUGAGUGAAGCGGGACCACUUGUCUCUGAGCUUCUGUCUCGACUUCCGAAUGCUUGCCAAGAGGAAGGUGUGUGUGGGAGGUGUUGGAAAGAGAGUGGAAAUCCUAUGGUCCGGAGCAUGUUCGCCAAUCGAAACUCGUAGAGCUCCAUGACGUCACUGGUCGCCAAGCAGAUCCAAUGUCCGGGCUCCAGCAAGCGCGAACGGAAGGAAACCGAGGCCGUCUGUGUUCUGGAGUCCCUUCCAACUCUAACAGUCUCUAAGUCUGUGACUGAGAGCCGCCAAAAUCAGGCUGUGGUUGAACAUUCACCUGCCUGAUUUCUUUCUUCCUCAGCCCAGCCUCCCAGGCUUCCUCCAAAUGGGUCUGGGACUCCUGUUUCCUAUGCUUCCACUAGAAAAUCUGCUUUGUUAGUCACAUAUCUACUCAGGCUUUUGGAUACAUCUACACCACUUUGCCCCUUGUUAGCUAUUGAACAGUUAAUUUCCAAUUGCUGAUUCCCUUUCUCAGGUCUGUGCUUGAGGCUGAGCACAGCUAGAUUUCUGCAUUCCUGCCAGAUGUGAGCCUCUACAGCACUUUUGACUUCUCAGAGAGCUUCCGUGGACAAUUCUUAUUGUAUUUGGUCCCCAGGGCAGCUCUGGGAGGGGUCGAGGGCAAGUGCCCUUAGCUCUGUUUUACAGGGGAAGGGACGGGGGCCCCAGUGUCAUACAGCUAGUUGGUUCAAGGGGUUCAAUGACCGACUACUCAGAGGAGAAUUUGUUUCAUGCCAGACUAGAUCCUCUCCAUAAUUCUGAGAUAGUGAAAAUCUCAGUCACACAGCUAGUAUGGCAAUGUGAACCCAAAUCUUCUGACUCCAGGUCUUGAUGAAAAUUCCAUGAUUCUUAGUGCAGCAUUCUCCCUCCCCAAGAAUCAUGGAGCCUCAGUGGGAAAGGACAUGUGAGGCAGAUGAUUGGAUCAUAAGAUUGAGGGAAGGAAGGAACCUUUGAAAUUGUUGAGAUCAACCCUUUUAUUUUUAUAAAUGAAGAAAGGGGCCCAGACAGGUGCAAGGAUGUGUCUAAGAUCACAUGGUCUGUCACGGGGAGCCAGGAUUUAAGGGCUCUUCCCACUGGAUUGCGUCUUAUGUGACUUCCCCUCUGAUACAACAUGCAAUCCCAGGAUCUCUACCAGAAAAAAACUUUUCCUCCGCGUGGGGGGAAAUUGGAGCCACAAUUAUUUUGUGACAUCUUGAUAGACGGUGACCUAGCAUUAGAAAGUCCCCAACCCCUUUUCGAGGACCUGGUAAGAGAGGAUGGUGUCAUUCACUAUGG